rnacentral:rRNA from 1 species
AACGAACGCUGGCGGCAGGCCUAACACAUGCAAGUCGAACGCUCUAGCAAUAGGGAGUGGCGCACGGGUGAGUAACGCGUAGGAAUCUACCCAUUAGCCUGGGAUAACAGCGGGAAACUGCUGCUAAUACCGGAUACGCCCCUUCGGGGGGAAAGGUUUACUACUAAUGGAUGAGCCUGCGUUAGAUUAGCUAGAUGGUGAGGUAAUGGCUCACCAAGGCUCCGAUCUAUAGCCGGUCCGAGAGGACGAUCGGCCACACUGGGACUGAGACACGGCCCAGACUCCUACGGGAGGCAGCAGUGGGGAAUAUUGGGCAAUGGGCGCAAGCCUGACCCAGCCAUGCCGCGUGAGUGAUGAAGGCCUUAGGGUUGUAAAGCUCUUUUAGUAGUGAAGAUGAAGACAGUAGCUACAGAAAAAGCCCCGGCUAACUUCGUGCCAGCCGCCGCGGUAACAC